AGUGAACGCUGGCGGUAGGCCUAACACAUGCAAGUCGAACGGCAGCACAGUAAGAGCUUGCUCUUACGGGUGGCGAGUGGCGGACGGGUGAGGAAUACAUCGGAAUCUACUUUUUCGUGGGGGGUAACGUAGGGAAACUUACGCUAAUACCGCAUACGACCUACGGGUGAAAGCAGGGGAUCUUCGGACCUUGCGCGAUUGAAUGAGCCGAUGUCGGAUUAGCUAGUUGGCGGGGUAAAGGCCCACCAAGGCGACGAUCCGUAGCUGGUCUGAGAGGAUGAUCAGCCACACUGGAACUGAGACGCGGUCCAGACUCCUACGGGAGGCAGCAGUAGGGAAUCUUCCGCAAUGGGCGAAAGCCUGACGGAGCAACGCCGCGUGAGUGAUGAAGGUCUUCGGAUCGUAAAACUCUGUUAUUAGGGAAGAACAAAUGUGUAAGUAACUAUGCACGUCUUGACGGUACCUAAUCAGAAAGCCACGGCUAACUACGUG
rnacentral:rRNA from 1 species